rnacentral:rRNA from 1 species
GUGCCAGCAGCCGCGGUAAAACGUAGGAGCCUAGCGUUAUCCGAAUUUACUGGGCGUAAAGCGCGUGCAGGCGGUUCGGUAAGUUGGGUGUGAAAUCUCCUGGCUCAACUGGGAGAGGUCGCUCAAUACUGUCGAACUGGAGGAUGGUAGAGGGAGGUGGAAUUCCCGGUGUAGUGGUGAAAUGCGUAGAUAUCGGGAGGAAUACCAGUGGCGAAGGCGGCCUCCUGGACCAUUCCUGACGCUCAGACGCGAAAGCUAGGGGAGCAAACGGGAUUAGAAACCCGCGUAGUCC